GCCUCCGUGGCGCAAUCGGCUAGCGCAUUCGGCUGUUAACUAAAAGGCUGGUGGUUGGAGCCCACCCGGGGGCG
rnacentral:tRNA from 1 species